UGGGGAAUUUUGGACAAUGGGGGCAACCCUGAUCCAGCCAUGCCGCGUGUGUGAAGAAGGCCUUCGGGUUGUAAAGCACUUUCGGACGGAACGAAAUCGCACGGGUGAAUACCCCGUGUGGAUGACGGUACUGUAAGAAGAAGCACCGGCUAACUACGUGCCAGCAGCCGCGGUAAUACGUAGGGUGCGAGCGUUAAUCGGAAUUACUGGGCGUAAAGCGUGCGCAGGCGGCUUCGCAAGUCAGACGUGAAAUCCCCGGGCUUAACCUGGGAAUGGCGUUUGAAACUACGGAGCUGGAGUGUGGCAGAGGGAGGUAGAAUUCCACGUGUAGCGGUGAAAUGCGUAGAUAUGUGGAGGAAUACCGAUGGCGAAGGCAGCCUCCUGGGCCAACACUGACGCUCAUGCACGAAAGCGUGGGGAGCAAACAGGAUUAGAUACCCAGGUAGUCCCUGAGCGGGCUGGCAAGGCGCAU
rnacentral:rRNA from 1 species